rnacentral:lncRNA from 1 species
UUGGGUUGGUGUUGAUUCUCUUGGUGAUGAUCUUGGCUCUCUUGAUGGUGAUGUUGGUUGUGUUGGGGUGGUGUUGGUUGUGUUGGGGUGGUGGUUCUCUUGGUAAUGGUUGUGUUGGUGGUGAUGGUUGUGUUGGUGGUGAUGGUUGUGUUGGGGUGAUGUUGGUUGUGUUGGUUGUGUUGGUGAUGUUGGUGGUGUUGGUGGUGUUGGUGAUGUUGGUUGUGUUGGGGUGGUGAUGGUUGUGUUGGUGGUGAUGGUUGUGUUGGUGGUGAUGGUUGUGUUGGUGAUGAUGUUGGUUGUCUUGGUGUUGAUCUUGGCUCUCUUGGUAGUGGUGUUAGUUGUGUUGGUGGUGAUGUUGGUGGUGAUGUUGGUUGUGUUGGUGUUGAUUCUCUUGGUGGUUGUGUUGGCUGUGUUGGAGAUGGUGUUGGUUGUGUUGAGGGUGUUGGUUGUAUUGAUGGUGAUAUUGGUUGUGUUGGAGAUGGUGUUGGUUCUCUUGGGGUUGCUUCUUCUGAUGUUGGUUGUCUUGGUGCUGAUUCUCUUGAAGUCAACACCAAGGGGGUGUUGACUUCUAGAGAGUCAACACCAAGACAACCAGCUUUGGGGUGGUGUUGGUUCUCUUAGUGUUGGUUCUCUUGGGG